UAUUUGUAACACUACAAGAAAAAAGGAAUUUAGUGGCGGUCAAAUAGCAACAGUUUGCACCCAAACUGCCGCCGCCUACCCACUACAAAAAAAAAGAGGAUUAACGACACAAUGAUAAGGCAGUUUAGAACCGCUGCUGCAUGUUCCUAAGUAAAAUUUUCAUUCUCUCACUUAUAUAUUUUUGUGAUUCCCACAAGAAAGAAAGAACACGAGAAAGCGCUGAAAUCCUUCUUCUCCAAACCGUUGCCGUCUCAAAUCACGAUGUCUUCUCCAAAACCCUUUCAUCUCCAAAUCGUCUUCUGCAAACCAUCGUGAGAGUUCCAACUCGUCAUAUCUCCUGUUCAUCUCCGUCGUGACCGAGUUAGAGACACCGAUUGAUACAAAUCCCUUCGAUUUCUACACAUAGUUGCUUCCAAUUUCUUCGAUUUCGCAGCUCAAACCUUCAAUCUCUUUGAUUCGCAGCCCAAUCCUCCAAUCCCUUUGAUUGCCCUAAUCAGAUUUGUGCAUAUAAGAUAUGGAAGAUUAGUUCCUGGAAUCAACAGUUUUGAUUCAUGAGGAGAAUCAUAAACACAUGGCUGCAUUUAAAUUGCAGAAAGCAUACAAGAUUUUUCGCACGCGAGGAAGGCUGGCCGAUUAUGCAAUUCUUAUUGAACAAAGUGGGUCAAGACUAUUCGACAAGGUUAUCUCUCGAAGCGUUCCUCAAACUUAUGGGGGACUGGAAAAGGAGGUUUUUUCGUUCUUGAUAGCCGGGGAAUGCUGUAUUACUAUCGUAAAUAAUGCAGCAAACUAUCUGGGUCUAAUAGCCAACAUUUUGGUCAGAGGAAUAGUUUGGAGCUUGGUUCUGGACUUCUAAGUCGACAAAGAACUACACUUUACAAAUAGUGCACUAGACCAAAUGGACUGGAUUGAAAAAAUCACAGUUUGUUGAAUGAAGGAUUGUUUCUAAGUGGAUAAGAGGCUUGGAGUUCACCAAUCUAAUGUAGAACUUCUUCUGUGACAUGGUUCAGGGGAAGGCACAUGGUGCUAUAAUGUAGUGAAAGUUUCCUAUCCGUAUUGUUUAUCAUGGCCAAAUUGUGAAGGUGGUUUAUAUGACGACGAUGUGCACGUACGCGCGGUUGCAAGCAUUAAAGUUUGCUUUGGAAUUGGGGGAUGUUUUUUUAUAGAAUUGGAUCUCAAGGUAUACCAUGAGUAAUUCAAGUGUGAAAUCAGAUGAUCUAUAUAGUUGAUUUUCUAUAUUGCUUUGUUGUCUAAGAGCUUGUUAGUAUCUUGUUUGUUUUGCUACACUUUUUAAUGUAAUAGUUUUAUGUUUAGUGUGUUAACUCAAAGCAAUUUUGAUGUAAACUUGUGAGUAUCAUUUUCUACAUGAAUUGUGAGAAUCAAUUACUUGAUAUGUUUAGUAAAAUAAUGUAUGGGGAUGUUGUGUGUUUUAGAUUUUGUUAUAUUAAUAUUAAUGGGAAUCAAGAGUGUUAAAUACACCAUU